AUCACUCUUUAUUUAAUUAUCUUAAUGAUAAAAGUGCGAAUUACCAUUAUUGUUUUCUUUCUUUUGCAUUUUAUUUGCUCCCCUGUGUAUUAAUUGUUCCUUAGUUGUGAUAGGUUUCUCAUAUUUUUGGACGAGGUAAUGGAAACGAAUGGCGAUGAAACAAUGAUAUAAACAUAUAGUGCAUUCUGACUUAAUUAACAAAAGGAGAAAGAGUGGCCUGUAGAUUACAAAAAGUUUGAUUUUUUUAUUUUUUUUCAGUUUCAGGAAAAAACACAUUGAUCUUUUACGACCUCAAUUCAUUUCCUGAAUAGCGAAAAUCUAGUGAUUAAUCUGCUUAAAUCCCAGAUUCUUCGACUGCGCAUUCCUCACUAUUCGAAGAUUUUAGAAGUCAGGAUCUCCUCAUCGUUUCAAGUUGAUGUAGGAAAAGAAAACAAGCUGAUCCAGUUCAUUAUACUGUUUCUCAAAUGGAUCCGGAAGCUGCACGCAAUGCACGGGAUUCACUGGAUCUGGUAUUUCAUAUGUCAAACAUUCUUGACACUGGGCUUGAUCGUCACACUUUAUCCGUUUUGAUUGCACUCUCCGAAAUGGGUUUCAACCCUGAGGCCUUGGCUGCUGUAGUUAAGGAACUUCGCAGGGCAACACCGGCUACUUCUUCUGUCCAAUCAACCACUCCAUCAGCACCUUAGGCAGUUUAAUUUUAAGUCCAAUUUGAUAGGUUAAGUUUUUUUCUGUGGAAAGCAGUCCCAUAUUGAAAUGUCUUUGCUCUAUUAAUGUAUCAAGAUACUAGAUUUGUCAUGGGCUGUGUUUAUCCCCGGCCCAACAAUUUCAUUGUGAUGUGAAGCACUACUUUUUUUCA